rfam:Tupaia chinensis contig54463, whole genome shotgun sequence.
AUACUUACCUGGCAGGGGAGAAACCAUGACCAUGAAGGUGAUUUUCCCAGGGUGAGACUUACCUAUGGCACUCCAGAUAUGCUGAGCCCUGUGAUUUCCCCAAAUGUGGGAAAUUCGACUGCAUAAUUUGUGGUAGUGGGGGACUGCGUUUGCACUCUCCCCUG